GACGAACGCUGGCGGCGUGCCUAAUACAUGCAAGUAGAACGCUGAAGAGAGGAGCUUGCUCUUCUUGGAUGAGUUGCGAACGGGUGAGUAACGCGUAGGUAACCUGCCUUGUAGCGGGGGAUAACUAUUGGAAACGAUAGCUAAUACCGCAUAACAAUAGAUGACACAUGUCAUUUAUUUGAAAGGGGCAAUUGCUCCACUACAAGAUGGACCUGCGUUGUAUUAGCUAGUAGGUGAGGUAAUGGCUCACCUAGGCGACGAUACAUAGCCGACCUGAGAGGGUGAUCGGCCACACUGGGACUGAGACACGGCCCAGACUCCUACGGGAGGCAGCAGUAGGGAAUCUUCGGCAAUGGGGGCAACCCUGACCGAGCAACGCCGCGUGAGUGAAGAAGGUUUUCGGAUCGUAAAGCUCUGUUGUAAGUCAAGAACGGGUGUGAGAGUGGAAAGUUCACACUGUGACGGUAGCUUACCAGAAAGGGACGGCUAACUACGUG
rnacentral:rRNA from 1 species